CCCCUGAGUGGUGCGUCUGUGAAAUACCAGGGCGUAGGAGGUCAGACCACUCAGAAAUGCCACUCCUGACCCACCCUACCACCCUGUUCAAUUGUUGGAGACCUCAUACCUCCCUCCAGCCCCAGCUGCCUCUGAGGGGAUUGCUGACCACCCCACCCCCUACGAGACUUGUUGGGUUGCCUCGAAGGCUUGGGCCCACCCGCGUGACUUUUGCAGGCCUGCCUGGUGCUCAGCACACAUCCUCUUCACUGAUCCUGGAGGCUGCUGAAAGGAGCUCUUUUCCAUCCUCGACUCUGGAAGUUCUCAUACACACCCGGCCCACCGUGCCUGGAUCUCCAAAUUUUGUUCAAAUUUCGUUCAACUGCCCACGAUGGGGCAGAGGGGAGUCCACAGUGACUCAUUUUCCCCAUCUGCUGAGAUGGCCUUUGGCAAAUGAAGCCCAGCCAGAUGCUCCUGUGGGACCGAGAGACUGUCCACCUCCGAAGCGAGACCUUGGCUUCCAGGCCAGGAACACCUCCCAUGUGGAUCUUCAGACUCUCAUCCACCACUACCGUGAUGCAAUUCUAACCACCUGGAGUGAGCACGGAGUCCACAGGGCAAGACUGCCCCCACGUCCGUCACCAGCCACAGGCUCAGGGACCCCCAGGCCACGUGCAAUUCUGACCCACCGGCCACAAAUCUGGAGGGGGGGUUCAUGACCCCCAUCAGGUUUAGGAUUUUGCUAGGAUAACUCACAGAGCUCAGGGAUCUGGAAGUCAAGGUGAGAAGCUCAUUCAGUGUGAGCUUUACAACACCCUCGGACCAUCCACAGAGCGAAUGCUACUCUCUUCUGCUAUCAUGAAGGAAAGACUUAGUGCAUUGUGACCUGCCAGAAGUCACACAGCCAGCAGACCAGCCCACCCUCAGCCUGGGUCUUCUGAUGCUGAGACCAGGGCGUUUCCAGAACACCACGCUGAGACUUCACAAGUAAAAAUCCUGACCCAGAAACACCACAGGAUCCUGUAUUUAUCUUUCGCUAUUUACCAAAGUAGACAUUCUAGAGAUCUUUUUUUUUCCCCAGUGUAAUUUGAAAGUUUGAACCAAAAGGGCUUCUGAGAAGCAUUCAGUUGACAAGAAGCAGACAGCUCCUCCUCCUUCCCGCCCAUUCGUCUGCUCCCUGAGCCCUCUGGACAAUGGGAGAAUUUAGUUUGAAUGCCCGUUUCUAACAACUCGGUUUCCCAAGUUUCUGAGCAACCCAGGCACCCACUAUUUGUCAUCAAGAGGGUGACCACCGUGUCUGCCCAGCUUGGUCAUGGACUGUGGCCUUCAGAUGGGAGAAGAUGCUUCCAGACUUUGCCUGGUCAUUCUUCUCCACACCUUAACUCACCUGGAAACAGAUGCAGCGAGAAGCAUCUUUCUCUGCCUGGAGGUCUCCUCACAGAUGUCUCCCGAAACAUUUUUUCACCACACCUUUUUGCCUUCAAAAAGGGAUCAACACACAGUCCCUGUCUGGGGAGCCGUGGUGCAGGGGAGUGUAGCAAGUUAAACCCAGUCUCCACCACUCACCGGGUAAUCUUGGACGCGUUAUUGGUCUCUCCCAGCUGUUUCUAUGCCCACAAGACAGAGGAGGAGGAAUGGUGUGUGUCCUCUCAUCCCCAGUUCCCACCACCCCCACCCCUGCUCCCUGCCCCGAGCCGGGGAUUCCAAGCAGAAAGCAGACCCCUUCGGGCGCCCAGCUGGGAUCAAUUCGGCAGAGCCACACAGAAUGUGAGAAGCCAAUCACUUCAAAGCCAGGUUUGCACAACUGUGUCCAUUCUUCCUCCAAGAAAUUUCACACCUUGAUACCAAGGAGCCGGUGUUUAAGAAAG